CUUGGGCCUGAUCUUCAUGGCGAUCAUGGGGGCGGUGUUGCUGAUGUAUGGCUGCUUGGCAGCCCGGCUCCGUCAGG
rnacentral:tRNA from 1 species